rnacentral:SRP_RNA from 1 species
GCCAGGCACAGUGGUGUGUGCCUGUAGUCCCAGCUACUCAGGAGGCUGAGGCUGGAGGAUCUCUUGAGUCCAGGGGUUCUGGGCUGUAGUACGCUAUGCUGAUUUGGUGUCCACACUAAGUUUAGCAUCAAUAUGGUGACCUCCUGGGAGCGGGGGACUGCCAGGUUGCCUAAGGAGGGGUGAACUGGCCCAGGUCGGAAGCAGAGUAGGUCAAAAUUCUAGUGCUGAUCAGUAGUGGGAUUGUGCCUGUGAAUAACCACUGCCCUCCAGCCUGGGCAACAUAGCAAGACCCCAUUCU